AUCAUGGCGCAUUGGUGGUAACCCUGACGCAGCGACGCCGCGUUAGCGCUGAUUGUCUUCGAAUCGUAAAGUGCUGUCCUUGGGAAAGAAUGUCUUCGGACUUGACGGUACCCAAGGAGGAAGCACCGGCUAACUACUUAUCAGCAGCCGCGUUAAGACGUAGGGGGCAAGCGUUGUCCGGAAUUAUUGGGCGUAAAUGGUGCGUGUGCGGCCUUUUAAGUCAGAUGUGAAAGCCCACGGCUUAACCGUGGGACUGCAUUUGAAACUGGAGGGCUUGAGUAUCGGAGAGGGUAGUGGAAUUCCCAGUGUAGCGGUGGAAUGCGUAGAUAUUGGGAGGAACACCAGUGGCGAAGGCGACUACCUGGACGAAAACUGACGCUGAGGCACGAAAGCUAGGGGAGCAAACA
rnacentral:rRNA from 1 species